UUCAGAAAGAGAACUGCAGACAUAGAAACCAUCCCUUGCUCUUUUGUUUCGCAUUUCAGUGGGAUGCAGACAGAUCGGUGAGGCAUGUUGCAAAACACCAGCAAGAGAUCCAGGGCUCACUCCUGGGGCUGACUCUGAUUAGACCCUUGCUGACCACAGUUCAAGUAGAUGAAAAGGCAUCCGGUUUGGACUUAACUGAGGGCAAUGUGAAGGUGAGCAUCCAGUUAUGUCCCAUGUCCUUUGAACAACUGUCAUUGCACAGACAAACCAUUUUGGGGACUGUUUAUGCUUACUUGAAGUAUUAGUAGUAAACUCACUGCGUUACCCCCAGUGAUAGUCACUGAAGGCAUUUAAAAAAUCUGCAAAAACAAAAAUCAAACUCAUAAUAAAAAUAAACCCCACAACAUCCUCAAUAUAUUGAUUAAACUUUCUAUAUGACUAUAGACAUGGAGGAGAAGAAAUCAACUCAGAGAGAGAAAUAGGCGCUAAUAAACUGCUUUCCCAGCAGUGACAAUAGUUGUGCCUUAUCAUGUGAAUAGCAAUAUACUAAAGUUGAAC
rnacentral:lncRNA from 1 species